rnacentral:lncRNA from 1 species
UCCUUUUCUUGUUGUCUUUAAAAAAUGAUGCCAAAUGAGCACUUUCUGUCUUAUCUUGCUUGAUUCUCUCUUCCUCUUACACACAGUGUAAAAUGAGUUCAUUAAGAGUCCAUUUCUCCUUUAGGCAGUUGUAACUGACCUUAAACUGAUUUUAUUUGUCUCAUGUUCUUGGAGAAAUACAACAUAAUCGUCCGGAAUUGCACUUCUCCUCUCUCUAGUGGAUCUCCUUAAUGGCACUUCAGGUUCUUGAGGUUGU